UGGAAGAGCUGUAGGCGAUAUUAAUUAGAUAUAUAAUUAUCGCUGCUUAAACGAAAAGAAAGCAAAAAGCCCUACAGAUACUGUCUGCUUUCAUUGUAAUGAAAUUAUUCCUGUAGGACGUGAGAUUAAAUUCAGGCUUUAACUAAUGUUUGUGCUGUUUUUCUCACUUUUCCUUUUGAUGGUGCUGAAAGAGAAAAAGGAAAGCGAGUCACAGGCCACUCAACGCCUACUCCAUGGGGUCUGAUUUGCUGAGACACCAACUUCACCUUCCUAACAAGGUGCAGCUCAAAUGAAGAUGAUGACUACCAGAAGACAUGAACAAAGGGUAAGUGGCAAUAAACCUCUGAAGAACCUUUAUAUGUAUAUUGACCUGUACACAGAAGGCAGACCAGUCUGUGAGACUACUGGAGAUAGAGCAAUCUUCUACAGCAUGUGUCAGAUUGUAACUGUGCAGAACGUUGGGAAGUGGCUAUUGCUUGAAGUUAAUA
rnacentral:lncRNA from 1 species